AUUUUAUAAAUAAUGAAGUGCUUUCAUAGAUAUUUUUAUAAUCUUAUAAAUGUGCAAUAUAGUUCUCAUGUCACAUGAUAAAACUGUCCUGCAUUCUUCUCAAAUCAUUUGUAGCAUAUUAUUAUUUAUGAUUGAAAUAGCAGCCAUAUUGCAUUCCUUCAUUUCCUUGAGUCUAUGUGGAAGAGCUAACACAAACAUGAAGUUCUUCUUCAAUAAGAAUAAAUCAUGUAUGGUAUCUGGGUGGUCAUUCUUCCAGAAGCAGGUUAAUGUUUUAUAUAAAAUGUCCAAUUCAGUAUUAUGAAGUUGUUCAGUAAGAAAUUUGUAAAUUUGCAAUAGAAAAUGCAAAAAUUUCAGAUCAUAUGAAAUUUAAUUACUGAAAUUUUUGAAAGUGUACAGUUUGUUUCAAAUCACCAAG
rnacentral:lncRNA from 1 species